CCUACGGGCGGCUGCAGUGGGGAAUAUUGCACAAUGGGCGCAAGCCUGAUGCAGCCAUGCCGCGUGUGUGAAGAAGGCCUUCGGGUUGUAAAGCACUUUCAGCGGGGAGGAAGGCGGUGAGGUUAAUAACCUCAUCGAUUGACGUUACCCGCAGAAGAAGCACCGGCUAACUCCGGGCCAGCAGCCGCGGUAAUACGGAGGGUGCAAGCGUUAAUCGGAAUUACUGGGCGUAAAGCGCACGCAGGCGGUCUGUCAAGUCGGAUGUGAAAUCCCCGGGCUCAACCUGGGAACUGCAUUCGAAACGGGCAGGCUAGAGUCGUGUAGAGGGGGGUAGAAUUCCAGGUGUAGCGGUGAAAUGCGUAGAGAUCUGGAGGAAUACCGGUGGCGAAGGCGGCCCCCUGGACAAAGACUGACGCUCAGGUGCGAAAGCGUGGGGAGCAAACAGGAUUAGAUACCCGUGUAGUC
rnacentral:rRNA from 1 species